GAUGAAGAACGCAGCGAAAUGCGAUAAGUAAUGUGAAUUGCAGAAUUCAGUGAAUCAUCGAAUCUUUGAACGCACAUUGCGCCCCCUGGUAUUCCGGGGGGCAUGCCUGUUCGAGCGUCAUUUCACCACUCAAGCCUCGCUUGGUAUUGGGCAACGCGGUCCGCCGCGUGCCUCAAAUCGACCGGCUGGGUCUUCUGUCCCCUAAGCGUUGUGGAAACUAUUCGCUAAAGGGUGUUCGGGAGGCUACGCCGUAAAACAACCCCAUUUCUAAGGUUGACCUCGUAUCAGGUAGGGAUACCCGCUGAACUUAAGCAUAUCAAUAAGCGGAGGA
rnacentral:misc_RNA from 1 species